UACGAGGGGUGCAAGCGUUGCUCGGAAUUAUUGGGCGUAAAGGGUAGGUAGGUGGUCUCAUUUGUCUGGGGUGAAAGCCUUGAGCUUAACUCAAGAAGUGCCCUAGAAACGGUGAGACUGGAGUCCUGGAGAGGGUCGUGGAAUUCCCGGUGUAGCGGUGAAAUGCGUAGAGAUCGGGAGGAACACCAGCGGCGAAGGCGGCGACCUGGACAGGUACUGACACUCAACUACGAAAGCGUGGGGAGCAAACAGG
rnacentral:rRNA from 1 species